rnacentral:rRNA from 1 species
AGACGUCUACAUUAGUACCCCGGUAGUCCCAGCCGUAAACUAUGCUCGCUAGGUGUCAGGCAUGGCGCGACCGUGUCUGGUGCCGCAGGGAAGCCGUGAAGCGAGCCACCUGGGAAGUACGGCCGCAAGGCUGAAACUUAAAGGAAUUGGCGGGGGAGCACAACAACGGGUGGAGCCUGCGGUUUAAUUGGACUCAACGCCGGACAACUCACCGGGGACGACAGCAAUAUGUAGGCCAGGCUGAAGACCUUGCCUGAAUCGCUG